UUUAAACACACAGACACGCACGUCUGCUUCAUGCAUGACGAGGUUACACGUCCAUUCUCUAAAGACAUCAGCUUGAACAGGUGCUUUCUGUCUUCAUCAUUACACACACACUGCUUUCUCACACACGCACUCAUAUCGAAGUGAUAAUGUCUCACUCUCCUAUUGAACUGACUCAAAAUCCUCUGGAGAAGAUCUGGGUGCCAUGGAUGAGCAGCAGACUGAGACGCAGGAGAGGCUCGUCCGUGCCGCAGUUCACUAACUCUCCCACUAUGAUAGUGAUGGUUGGUCUUCCUGCCCGUGGAAAGACAUACAUCUCCAAAAAACUCACUCGCUACCUCAACUGGAUCGGAGUUCCUACUAAAGUGUUUAAUGUUGGAGAGUACCGUAGAGAUGCUGUACAAACUUACAAGAAUUACGAAUUCUUCCGUCCAGACAACAAAGAUGCAAUGAAGAUUCGCAAAGCAUGUGCUUUGGCGGCAUUGAAAGACGUGUGUUGUUACUUCACUCAGGAUCAUGGACAGGUGGCGGUGUUUGAUGCGACCAACACAACGAGAGAUCGUAGAGAAUUGAUUCUCAGUUUUGCUAAAGACAACGGCUAUAAAGUCUUUUUUGUUGAGUCACUUUGCGAUGACCUAGAAAUCAUAGCAGAAAACAUCAAGCAAGUCAAGUUGAGCAGUCCUGAUUACAUUAACUGUGAUAAAGAAGAGGCCGUCGCUGACUUCCUCAAGAGAAUCGACUGCUACAAAAUUACAUACGUUCCCUUAGAUGAUGAAAAAGACAGACUCCUGUCAUACAUUAAGAUCUUUAACGUGGGCAGCAGGUAUCUGGUGAAUCAGGUGCAGGAUCAUAUUCAGAGCAGAAUCGUGUACUAUCUGAUGAACAUCCACGUCACUCCUCGCACAAUCUACCUCUGCCGUCAUGGAGAGAGUGAACUCAACCUUGUGGGGCGUAUCGGAGGAGAUUCAGGCCUCUCGACACGAGGAAUCAAGUUUGCAGCAGCUCUAGGCUCGUACAUCAGAGGUCAGUCUAUCCCAGACCUGAAGAUCUGGACCAGCCACAUGAGAAGAACCAUCCAGACAGCAGAAGCCAUCGGUGUGCCAUAUGAACAGUGGAAAGCCCUCAAUGAGAUAGAUGCUGGAGUUUGUGAGGAGAUGACAUACGAGGAGAUUCAGGAUCACUUUCAGGAGGAGUUUGCGCUCCGAGACCAGGAUAAAUAUCGCUACCGCUAUCCAAAGGGUGAAUCAUAUGAGGAUCUGGUGCAGCGUUUAGAGCCUGUGAUCAUGGAGCUGGAGCGGCAGGAGAAUGUUCUGGUCAUCUGUCACCAGGCCGUCAUGCGCUGUCUACUUGCAUACUUCCUGGACAAAAGUGCAGAUGAGUUGCCGUAUCUGAAGUGUCCUCUCCAUACAGUGCUGAAACUCACUCCUGUGGCCUACGGUUGUAAGGUUGAGUCCAUCUUCCUGAACGUUGAAGCAGUGAAUACUCACAGAGUAAGACCUACGAAUGAGGAUGCUCAUUGCAGUCACAGCGUGCUGUACUAGCUCUGCUCGCGUCCGGCCAGUCCUGCACCCACCAGAGCACCCUGUUUUCAGGACCUGGGCUUGACUGAACUCAGUCUGCAGAAUGUGGAUGUGGACAGAGACCCAGAAGAUGCUUUACUGACUGUACCAGAACACAACUAGAUGACAAGUGCAAUUCUCCAUAUUUUUAUUUGUAGGGUAAUCUGACCUUCUUGCAUGUCUUUUUUUUUUUAUUAUUAUUGCAUUGAUAAUAAUGGCAAUAAUUGUGGGUUAGUAAGAAAUUACAAAAGUUUGUUAAAUACUUUCAUGAAAAUGCAUUAAGCCAACUCACAUGAAGUCAGUAUUAUGACAUUUUAUCAGUUAUUUUACAUUUUUAUAAUGUUAAUUAUAUGGUAAAAAGUGCCACUGCAGUUCCUCCUUUAAUGAGACUUUUGUUGAUGACUGCUGGUCCAGAUCACCAGAUUAUGUUAACUUUACAGCACACAGUGUUCAUUCGUGAGAAGUAACAUGUGAAAAUGGAGAUAAAUGUGGAGAAAUGAAUCAUACAUCAUACACAUGUAGCUGCUCAAAAUCAGGAAAAUCUUUGAACUCAUUUAUAUGCAGGUUAGUACUAGUUAAGCAAUAUUCUUCACAGAACAAUUUAAAAUUGGUAAUUUUCAGUAUUUAGAGCAGUGAGUGAAUACAGUAUUAGUGAUGAUACUGUAUGAAAAUGUGAUUGUUUACGUCAUUAGAUACUUUUGAGUUUUACUGUAGGGUAAUACUCUUAAAACAAAUGUUUUUGCCUCUGGAUAGCUUUAGUGGUUGUGCACGUCUAUACUCUGUAUUGUGCCAUCUCACAUUAUGCUGAUCAGAAAAUGUUUGUUGAUACUGAGUGUCUGGAAGUAGUAAUAUGAAAUAUUCGAUGAAAAUAAGAUGGCUGUUAUUUAAUGUAAUGUCAUGUACCUUGUGCCUGUUUUAAUGUAUUGCAUGCAGUUGCCUUGUGCUAUCAUUAUGAAAAUAUGAUCACUCAUGGGCAGUUGGUAUGAAAAACUUUUUUUCUGGUUCUUCCAGAGCAGAAUAUAGUAAUUGAGAGUACUGUCUCAGCUGCCCAUGACCUCAAGUGUACUGAAGUGUUUGUAUAGUGCCAUCACCUGAUUAUCACAUGGCUUCAGUGCCAGAGGAUUGUCGAGCUGUAGUGUCACAAUGUAGCAAUAAGACAAGAGUGUAAAAACAGCUGUUCAGGUUGUAGUCAUGAAACCCAGGUGAAGAUUGGCAUUUUUGAGCCAUGGGUUCAUUCUGGUGUCUCUAAUAUACAGUGGGUACGGAAAGUAUUCAGACCCCCUUACAUUUUUCACUCUUUGUUAUAUUGCAGCCAUUUGCUAAAAUCAUUUAAGUUCAUUUUUUUCCUCAUUAUUGUACACACAGCACCCCAUAUUGACAGAACAACACAGAAUUGUUGACAUUUUUGCACAUUUAUUAAAAAAGAAAAACUGAAAUAUCACAUGGUCCUAAGUAUUCAGACCCUUUACUGUGACACUCAUAUAUUUAACUCAGGUGCUGUCCAUUUCUUCUGAUCAUCCUUGAGAUGGUGCUACACCUUCAAUUGAGUCCAGCUGUGUUUGAUUAUACUGAUUGGACUUGAUUAGGAAAGCCACACACCUGUUUAUAUAAGACCUUACAGCUCACAGUGCAUGUCAGAGCAAAUGAGAAUCAUGAGGUCAAAGGAACUGCCUGAAGAGCUCAGAGACAGAAUUGUGGCAAGGCACAGAUCUGGCCAAGGUUACCGGUACAAAAAAAUUUCUGCUGCCCUUAAGGUUCAUAAGAGCACAGUGGCCUCCAUAAUCCUUAAAUGGAAGACGUUUGGGACGACCAGAACCCUUCCUAGAGGUGGCCGUCCGGCCAAACUGAGCUAUCGGGGGAGAAGAGCCUUGGUGAGAGAGGUAAAGAAGAACCCAAAGAUCACUGUGGCUGAGCUCCAGAGAUGCAGUCGGGAGAUGGGAGGAAGUUGUAGUAAGUCAACCAUCACUGCAGCCAUCCACCAGUCGGGGCUUUAUGGCAGUGGCCCGACGGAAGCCUCUCCUCAGUGCAAGACACAUGAAAGCCUGCAUGGAGUUUGCUAAAAAACACCUGAAGGACUCCAAGAUGGUGAUAAAUAAGAUUCUCUGGUCUGAUGAGACCAAGAUAGAACUUUUUGGCCUUAAUUCUAAGCGGUAUGUGUGGAGAAAACCAGGCACUGCUCAUCACCUGUCCAAUACAGUCUCAACAGUGAAGCAUGGUGGUGGCAGCAUCACGCUGUGGGGGUGUUUUUCAGCUGCAGGGACAGGACGACUGGUUGCAAUCGAGGGAAAGAUGAAUGCGGCCAAGUACAGGGAUAUCCUGGACGAAAACCUUCUCCAGAGUGCUCUGGACCUCAGACUGGGCGAAGGUUCACCUUCCAACAAGACAAUGACCCUAAGCACACCGCUAAAAUAACGAAGGAGUGGCUUCACAACAACUCCGUGACUGUUCUUGAAUGGCCCAGCCAGAGCCCUGACUUAAACCCAAUUGAGCAUCUCUGGAGAGACCUGAAAAUGGCUGUCCACCAAUGUUUACCAUCCAACCUGACAGAACUGGAGAGGAUCUGCAAGGAGGAAUGGCAGAGGAUACCCAAAUCCAGAUGUGAAAAACUUGUUGCAUCUUUCCCAAAAAGACUCAUGGCUGUAUUAGAUCAAAAGGGUGCUUCUACUAAAUACUGAACAAAGGGUCUGAAUACUUAGGACCAUGUGAUAUUUCAGUUUUU